GACGAACGCUGGCGGCGUGCUUAACACAUGCAAGUCGAACGGUGAAGCGCCUUCCUUUUUGGUGGGUGUGGAUGAGUGGCGAACGGGUGAGUAACACGUGAGUAACCUGCCCCCUUCUUCUGGAUAACCGCAUGAAAGUGUGGCUAAUACGGGAUAUUCUGGGUCUGUCGCAUGAUGGGUCUGGGAAAGAUAUUGUUUCGGUGGGGGAUGGGCUCGCGGCCUAUCAGCUUGUUGGUGGGGUGAGGGCCUACCAAGGCGGUGACGGGUAGCCGGCCUGAGAGGGUGGACGGUCACACUGGGACUGAGACACGGCCCAGACUCCUACGGGAGGCAGCAGUGGGGAAUAUGGCACAAUGGGCGCAAGCCUGAUGCAGCGACGCCGCGUGAGGGAUGGAGGCCUGCGGGUUGUGAACCUCUUUCGCCAGUGAAGCAGGCCUGCCUCGUUUGUGGGUGGGUUGACGGUAGCUGGAUAAGAAGCGCCGGCUAACUACGUG
rnacentral:rRNA from 1 species